GGCGAGCGGCGGACGGGUGAGUAAUGUCUGGGAAACUGCCUGAUGGAGGGGGAUAACUACUGGAAACGGUAGCUAAUACCGCAUAACGUCGCAAGACCAAAGAGGGGGACCUUCGGGCCUCUUGCCAUCAGAUGUGCCCAGAUGGGAUUAGCUAGUAGGUGGGGUAACGGCUCACCUAGGCGACGAUCCCUAGCUGGUCUGAGAGGAUGACCAGCCACACUGGAACUGAGACACGGUCCAGACUCCUACGGGAGGCAGCAGUGGGGAAUAUUGCACAAUGGGCGCAAGCCUGAUGCAGCCAUGCCGCGUGUAUGAAGAAGGCCUUCGGGCUGUAAAGUACUUUCAGCGGGGAGGAAGGUGUUGAGGUUAAUAACCUCAGCAAUUGACGUUACCCGCAGAAGAAGCACCGGCUAACUCCGUGCCAGCAGCCGCGGUAAUACGGAGGGUGCAAGCGUUAAUCGGAAUUACUGGGCGUAAAGCGCACGCAGGCGGUCUGUCAAGUCGGAUGUGAAAUCCCCGGGCUCAACCUGGGAACUGCAUUCGAAACUGGCAGGCUAGAGUCUUGUAGAGGGGGGUAGAAUUCCAGGUGUAGCGGUGAAAUGCGUAGAGAUCUGGAGGAAUACCGGUGGCGAAGGCGGCCCCCUGGACAAAGACUGACGCUCAGGUGCGAAAGCGUGGGGGGCAGACAGGAUUAGAUACCC
rnacentral:rRNA from 1 species